rnacentral:tRNA from 1 species
UAAGGGAUGGCAGAGUGGUAACGCGCUGGACUUCCCAUCCAGUAGUCCUUGGGACUACAUGGGUUCAAAUCCCAUUCCCGGCGCCA